rnacentral:rRNA from 1 species
UUAAGCGACUAAGCGUACACGGUGGAUGCCCUGGCAGUCAGAGGCGAUGAAGGACGUGCUAAUCUGCGAUAAGCGUCGGUAAGGUGAUAUGAACCGUUAUAACCGGCGAUUUCCGAAUGGGGAAACCCAGUGUGAUUCGUCACACUAUCAUUAACUGAAUCCAUAGGUUAAUGAGGCGAACCGGGGGAACUGAAACAUCUAAGUACCCCGAGGAAAAGAAAUCAACCGAGAUUCCCCCAGUAGCGGCGAGCGAACGGGGAGCAGCCCAGAGCCUGAAUCAGUGUGUGUGUUAGUGGAAGCGUCUGGAAAGGCGUGCGAUACAGGGUGACAGCCCCGUACACAAAAAUGCACAUGCUGUGAGCUCGAUGAGUAGGGCGGGACACGUGGUAUCCUGUCUGAAUAUGGGGGGACCAUCCUCCAAGGCUAAAUACUCCUGACUGACCGAUAGUGAACCAGUACCGUGAGGGAAAGGCGAAAAGAACCCCGGCGAGGGGAGUGAAAAAGAACCUGAAACCGUGUACGUACAAGCAGUGGGAGCACGCUUAGGCGUGUGACUGCGUACCUUUUGUAUAAUGGGUCAGCGACUUAUAUUCUGUAGCAAGGUUAACCGAAUAGGGGAGCCGAAGGGAAACCGAGUCUUAACUGGGCGUUAAGUUGCAGGGUAUAGACCCGAAACCCGGUGAUCUAGCCAUGGGCAGGUUGAAGGUUGGGUAACACUAACUGGAGGACCGAACCGACUAAUGUUGAAAAAUUAGCGGAUGACUUGUGGCUGGGGGUGAAAGGCCAAUCAAACCGGGAGAUAGCUGGUUCUCCCCGAAAGCUAUUUAGGUAGCGCCUCGUGAAUUCAUCUCCGGGGGUAGAGCACUGUUUCGGCAAGGGGGUCAUCCCGACUUACCAACCCGAUGCAAACUGCGAAUACCGGAGAAUGUUAUCACGGGAGACACACGGCGGGUGCUAACGUCCGUCGUGAAGAGGGAAACAACCCAGACCGCCAGCUAAGGUCCCAAAGUCAUGGUUAAGUGGGAAACGAUGUGGGAAGGCCCAGACAGCCAGGAUGUUGGCUUAGAAGCAGCCAUCAUUUAAAGAAAGCGUAAUAGCUCACUGGUCGAGUCGGCCUGCGCGGAAGAUGUAACGGGGCUAAACCAUGCACCGAAGCUGCGGCAGCGACACUAUGUGUUGUUGGGUAGGGGAGCGUUCUGUAAGCCUGCGAAGGUGUGCUGUGAGGCAUGCUGGAGGUAUCAGAAGUGCGAAUGCUGACAUAAGUAACGAUAAAGCGGGUGAAAAGCCCGCUCGCCGGAAGACCAAGGGUUCCUGUCCAACGUUAAUCGGGGCAGGGUGAGUCGACCCCUAAGGCGAGGCCGAAAGGCGUAGUCGAUGGGAAACAGGUUAAUAUUCCUGUACUUGGUGUUACUGCGAAGGGGGGACGGAGAAGGCUAUGUUGGCCGGGCGACGGUUGUCCCGGUUUAAGCGUGUAGGCUGGUUUUCCAGGCAAAUCCGGAAAAUCAAGGCUGAGGCGUGAUGACGAGGCACUACGGUGCUGAAGCAACAAAUGCCCUGCUUCCAGGAAAAGCCUCUAAGCAUCAGGUAACAUCAAAUCGUACCCCAAACCGACACAGGUGGUCAGGUAGAGAAUACCAAGGCGCUUGAGAGAACUCGGGUGAAGGAACUAGGCAAAAUGGUGCCGUAACUUCGGGAGAAGGCACGCUGAUAUGUAGGUGAAGUCCCUCGCGGAUGGAGCUGAAAUCAGUCGAAGAUACCAGCUGGCUGCAACUGUUUAUUAAAAACACAGCACUGUGCAAACACGAAAGUGGACGUAUACGGUGUGACGCCUGCCCGGUGCCGGAAGGUUAAUUGAUGGGGUUAGCGCAAGCGAAGCUCUUGAUCGAAGCCCCGGUAAACGGCGGCCGUAACUAUAACGGUCCUAAGGUAGCGAAAUUCCUUGUCGGGUAAGUUCCGACCUGCACGAAUGGCGUAAUGAUGGCCAGGCUGUCUCCACCCGAGACUCAGUGAAAUUGAACUCGCUGUGAAGAUGCAGUGUACCCGCGGCAAGACGGAAAGACCCCGUGAACCUUUACUAUAGCUUGACACUGAACAUUGAGCCUUGAUGUGUAG